rnacentral:rRNA from 1 species
CCUACGGGUGGCAGCAGUGAGGAAUAUUGGUCAAUGGGCGGGAGCCUGAACCAGCCAAGCCGCGUGAGGGAAGAAGGUACAGCGUAUCGUAAACCUCUGUUGUCAGGGAACAAAGGCGGGGACUAGUCCCCGGAUGAGGGUACCUGAAGAAAAAGCAUCGGCAAACUCCGUGCCAGCAGACGCGGUAAUACGGAGGAUGCGAGCGUUAUCGGGAUUUAUUGGGGUGAAAGGGUGCGAAGGCGGCCUGUUAAGUCAGCGGUAAAAGCCCGGGGCCCAACCCCGGCGAGCCGAUGAAACUGGCGGGCUGGAGCUAGAGAGAAGGACGCGGAAUGCGCGGUGUAGCAGUGAAAUGCGUAGAUAUCGCGCAGAACCCCGGUGGCGAAGGCAGCGUACCGGCUCCACACUGACGCUGAGGCACGAAAGCGUGGGUAGCGAACAGGAUUAGAUACCCGGGUAGUC